rfam:Bacterium P201 scaffold_51, whole genome shotgun sequence.
CGCAAAGUGGAUAGAUUUGUAAUGAUUGCAACCACGGGAGAGUCUCGCCGCGCGAACUCUUUAAAAAAAUGCUAAACACAUUCCU